GAUGAACGCUAGCUACAGGCUUAACACAUGCAAGUCGAGGGACCGGCGCACGGGUGAGUAACACGUAUCCCACCUGCCCUUUACUCGGGGAUCGCCUUUCGAAAGAAAGAUUAAUACCCGAUCUAAAGGAUGGGGAUGCGUUCCAUUAGGUUGUUGGUGAGGUAACGGCAAACCAAGCCUUCGAUGGAUAGGGGUUCUGAGAGGAAGGUCCACCACAUUGGAACGGAGACAAGGUCCAAACGCUUACGGGAGGCAGAAGUGAGGAAUAGUGGACAAUGUGCGUUAGCCUGACCCAGCCAAGGAGCGUGAAGGAUGAAGGAUUAUGGGUCGUAAACUUCUGUUAUAUAAGAAUAUGUAUUAUAUGAAUAAGGAUAGGCUAAUUCCGUGACAGCAGCAGCGGUAAUAA
rnacentral:rRNA from 1 species